CACGUAGGGCGCAAGCGUUUGUCCGGAAUUAUUGGGCGUAAAGAGCUCGUAGGCGGUCUGUUGCGUCCGCUGUGAAAUCUCGGGGCUUAACCCCGAGCCUGCAGUGGAUACGGGCAGACUAGAGGUAGGUAGGGGAGAAUGGAAUUCCCGGUGUAGCGGUGAAAUGCGCAGAUAUCGGGAGGAACACCGGUGGCGAAGGCGGUUCUCUGGGGCCUUACCUGACGCUGAGGAGCGAAAAGCGUGGGGAGCGAACAGG
rnacentral:rRNA from 1 species